rnacentral:rRNA from 1 species
GAUGAACGCUGGCGGCGUGCCUAAUACAUGCAAGUCGAGCGAAUGGAUUAAGAGCUUGCUCUUAUGAAGUUAGCGGCGGACGGGUGAGUAACACGUGGGUAACCUGCCCAUAAGACUGGGAUAACUCCGGGAAACCGGGGCUAAUACAGGAUAACAUUUUGAACAGCAUGGUUCGAAAUUGAAAGGCGCCUUCGGCUGUCACAUAUGGAUGGACCCGCGUCGCAUUAGCUAGUUGGGGAGGUAACGGCUCACCAAGGCAAAGAUACGUAGCCGACCUGAGAGGGUGAUCGGCCACACUGGGACGGAGACACGGCCCAGACUCCUACGGGAGGCAGCAGUAGGGAAUCUUCCGCAAUGGACGGAAGUCUGACGGAGCAACGCCGCGUGAGUGAUGAAGGCUUUCGGGUCGUAAAACUCUGUUGUUAGGGAAGAACAAGUGCUAGUUGAAUAAGCUGGCACCUUGACGGUACCUAACCAGAAAGCCACGGCUAACUACGUGCCAGCCGCCGCAGUAA